UACUGACCUAAUUUUAACUCUUAACUUUAG
rnacentral:piRNA from 1 species